rnacentral:rRNA from 1 species
AAGCUCGUAGUUGAAUUUCGGGGUUAGUAGGUUGGUCAUGCCUCUGGUAUGUACUGGUCUCACUGAUUCCUCCUUCCUUAUGAACCGUAAUGCCAUUAAUUUGGUGUUGCGGGGAAUUUGGACUGUUACUUUGAAAAAAUUAGAGUGUUUAAAGCAAGCUAACGCUUGAAUACAUUAGCAUGGAAUAAUGAAAUAGGACGUUCGAUCUUAUUUUGUUUGGUUUCUAGGAUUGACGUAAUGAUUAAUGGGAUAGUUGGG